rnacentral:rRNA from 1 species
UUCCGGUUGAUCCUGCCGGACCCGACUGCUAUUUGGGUGAGGAUAAGCCAUGCGAGUUGAAUGGGAAACCUAAAGUUCCCAUGGCAAACUGCUCAGUAACACAUGAUCAACUUACCCUAUAGAGAAAAAUAACCUCGGGAAACUGAGGAUAAUGUUUCAUAGUUGAAUUGGCUUGGAAAAGUUUUUCGACGAAAGGGGUAAAAAAAAUGGUUUUUAUCUGCUAUAGGAUAGGAUCGUGUUCGAUUAUGGUUGUUGGUGAGGUAAUGGCUCACCAAGCCGAUAAUCGAUAGGGGCCGUGAGAGCGGGAGCCCCGAGAUGGGUACUGAGACAACGACCCAGGCCUUACGAGGCGCAGCAGGCGCGAAACCUCCGCAAUACACGAAAGUGUGACGGGGUUACCCAAAGUGUUCAAUUUUGAACUGUGGUAGGUGAGUAAUGUUCCCUACUAGAAAGGAGAGGGCAAGGCUGGUGCCAGCCGCCGCGGUAAAACCAGCUCUUCAAGUGGUCGGGAUAAUUAUUGGGCUUAAAGUGUCCGUAGCCGGUUUGGUAAGUUCCUGGUAAAAUCGGGUAGCUUAACUAUCUAUAUGCUAGGAAUACUACUAUACUAGAGGGCGGGAGAGGUCUGAGGUACUACAGGGGUAGGGGUGAAACCUUAUAAUCCUUGUUGGACCACCAGUGGCGAAGGCGUCAGACUGGAACGCGCCUGACGGUGAGGGACGAAAGCCAGGGGAGCGAACCGGAUUAGAUACCCGGGUAGUCCUGGCCGUAAACGAUGCAUACUAGGUGAUGGCACGGCCAUGAGCCGUGUCAGUGCCGUAGGGAAACCGUUAAGUGUGCCGCCUGGGAAGUACGGUCGCAAGGCUAAAACUUAAAGGAAUUGGCGGGGGAGCACCACAAGGGGUGAAGCCUGCGGUUCAAUUGGAUUCAACGCCGGA